GUUUGUGUGUGUGUGUGUGUGUUUGUGUGUGUGCGUGCGUGUACGGGCUAACGUGUGCGCGUGUGAGAGGCAGAAUGAGUGUGUCUGUCUUUGUGUCUGUGAUGUCGGGCCUCCUGCAGUGACCCCACGGAGUGCACCAUUCCGGCCGCAAACAAAGGGCCGGCUGUUUCCCCCUGCUUCAACCAUGGGCUGCUCCAAAACCACCGACCAUUCGCCGCCGCGCUAACCAAAUAUUUCCCUUUUUGCCUCGAUUUCGCAUCAAUGAAUAGUUUUGUGUUGGAGGAUUUUCUUGGUUUUGAAUGAGGGCUGCUAAAUACUCAGGCGGUCACACGAUCUCAAAAGGCGUCUUGUUUUACCUGAGGCUGUCACAGUCACCUCGAAUGACAUCUAAAUCCAAUUUAAAAAUCCUGGUCAAGAUGGCGACAGACAAACAUGACUCUUUAACCAAAAUGAGAAAAAUGGAAUUUUCAAAAACAUUUACUGGGUUUCCUGAUGUUCACUGAACAGAUUACUGUACUAUUAUCUAUUUAGACUAUUAUCGUAUGCACAAACGCUGUUUUAUGGCACCAUAAAAAUAUUGAUGGUCAGUUGCGACAUAUUGUUGCAGACUGUAGCAUGUAACUGUGUGUGUGUGUGUGUGUGUGUGUGUGUGUGUGUGUGUGUGUGUGUGUGUGAGUGUGUGUGUGUGUGUGUGUGUGUGUGUGUGAGUGUGUGUGUGUGAGUGUGUGUGUGUGUGUGUGUGUGUGUGAGUGUGUGUGUGUGUGUGUGUGUGUGUGUGUGUGCCGCUAACAGUGAGUGUGAUCUGAACUGUGAUUGGUGGUGCUGUGUUUACUCUGACGCCCAUGAUAUUCAUUACAGGCUGCGCUGUGUGCUGCUACUUCCUGAACACGUCCCGUAGGCCGGUGACCUUGACCUCCGCGGGCCGUCCUCAAACCCCUUUGGGCUGGAGCCAGGAUGGAGGAAAUUGCACCAGAAGAUUGAUUGGCUAAAUCCUUUAAUUAUUUGGAUUUCACAGCGGCAGACCCAGUGACUUUGCCUCUGGUAGUUGACUGUGUCAAACAAAGUCGGGAAUGUUGGGCCCUCUCGGCAGAGCGAGCUGUGUUUUUCUUUGUAUUCUAAAAAUCAAGCGAAAUCUAAGGUUUUAUUUGAGGCCUGGGGAUUGCGGCAGGUUUCAUAAUAUUGACAGAAGGCAGAGACAAAACACUUGGGAUUGAGCUUGAGUGUUUUAACUGUAAAACAAAUCAAAGGGCACUGAUUUGUCACUUCCUCCUCGCUGCACAUUUCUUAUGUUUUUCAGCUUGAGUCCAGCGAAGGGCUGAUGAACGGCUGGGGUGUUUUUCUCCAGUGGAAUGUGAUCAUCUCUGUUGGUGCACGAACCGGUGUUUUAGCAGAAUGUGAUCCGCCCGCACGCAUCCUGCAGAGGAAGCUGUUUGUGACCUCUGCAGUUUGUGCCUCGAGGCCGCCGUUACAAUGACCAGGGCCCCGGCGUUGCGGCUCCGCUGCAGUGAUUGCCUGCCCGAGCGCCGAGUUCAGCUGGACGUGAUGGAUGAACGGAGGGCACAGAGCGGCAGCCUGGGCCCGGUAGUGUUUCCCCUUAGUCACCACAGUGCCAAUACAAACCUGGACAGGCAAAGACAAAUAGGAGAAACCCAUUAAGCUCCAACCAACGGGUUGUAGCCACAAGCACCAGCACGUAACGCAGCUUGUUAGUUUGUAGAAGUCAAGCUGCUUUCAACAAACUAAUAACUAGUUAAUGUACUGCUGUGACAAACACCAUUAGUCAACGUGCCCAAUUAGCCAUUUUUCAAACAAUAACAUUUGGCAGCAGUUGGGGUCAAGGGUCAACGUAUGUCCAUUUAGUCUGUAAACAGGAAGUUAAGCCAUGCUUCAUGUAAUUACAAGUGUGAAGUUGUUGCUGAAAACGCUCUUGACCUUUUGCCCUUGUCUUUAUUGGUCUUCAACCCCAAAGGUACGAGCAAUCCAAUAUUCAGCUUUACGUCCCUCCUCCUAUCUCAGUAUAUCAUUAAAAUAGUUUAUGUUUGUGUAA